rnacentral:rRNA from 1 species
GACGAACGCUGGCGGCGUGCUUAACACAUGCAAGUCGAACGCUGAAGCACCAGCUUGCUGGUGUGGAUGAGUGGCGAACGGGUGAGUAAUACGUGAGUAACCUGCCCUUGACUCUGGGAUAAGCCCGGGAAACUGGGGCUAAUACUGGAUGCUACAUGUCACCGCAUGGUGGUGUGUGGAAAGGGUUUACUGGUCUUGGAUGGGCUCACGGCCUAUCAGCUUGUUGGUGAGGUAAUGGCUCACCAAGGCGACGACGGGUCGCCGGCCUGAGAGGGUGACCGGCCAAACUGGGACUUAGGCACGGCCCAGGCACCUACGGGAGGCAGCAGGGGGGAAUAUUGGACAAUGGGCGAAAGCCUGAUGCAGCGACGCCGCGUGAGGGAAGACGGCCUUCGGGUUGUAAACCUCUUUCAGCAGGGAAGAAGCCACAAGUGACAGUACCUGCAGAAGAAGCGCCGGCUAACUACGUG